rnacentral:rRNA from 1 species
AUUGAACGCUGGCGGCAGGCCUAACACAUGCAAGUCGAACGGUAACAGGAAGAAGCUUGCUUCUUUGCUGACGAGUGGCGGACGGGUGAGUAAUGUCUGGGAAACUGCCUGAUGGAGGGGGAUAACUACUGGAAACGGUAGCUAAUACCGCAUAAUGUCGCAAGACCAAGGAGGGGGACCUUCGGGCCUCUUGCCAUCGGAUGUGCCCAGAUGGGAUUAGCUAGUAGGUGGGGUAACGGCUCACCUAGGCGACGAUCCCUAGCUGGUCUGAGAGGAUGACCAGCCACACUGGAACUGAGACACGGUCCAGACUCCUACGGGAGGCAGCAGUGGGGAAUAUUGCACAAUGGGCGCAAGCCUGAUGCAGCUAUGCCGCGUGUAUGAAGAAGGCCUUCGGGUUGUAAAGUACUUUCAGCGGGGAGGAAGGGAGUAAAGUUAAUACCUUUGCUCAUUGACGUUACCCGCAGAAGAAGCACCGGCUAACUCCGUG